rnacentral:tRNA from 1 species
AAUGAAUUGGCAGAUUAGUGCUCUAGAUUUAGGAUUUGGUUAAGUGUUUAAAAAAUACAUUCAUUA